UAUUGGUCAAUGGACGAGAGUCUGAACCAGCCAAGUAGCGUGAAGGAUGACUGCCCUAUGGGUUGUAAACUUCUUUUAUAUGGGAAUAAAAUGAGUUACGUGUAGCUUUUUGUAUGUACCAUAUGAAAAAGCAUCGGCUAACUCCGUGCCAGCAGCCGCGGUAAUACGGAGGAUGCGAGCGUUAUCCGGAUUUAUUGGGUUUAAAGGGUGCGUAGGCGGGCUUUUAAGUCAGCGGUAAAAAUUCGGGGCUCAACCCCGUCCGGCCGUUGAAACUGGGGGCCUUGAGUGGGCGAGAAGAAGGCGGAAUGCGUGGUGUAGCGGUGAAAUGCAUAGAUAUCACGCAGAACCCCGAUUGCGAAGGCAGCCUUCCGGCGCCCUACUGACGCUGAGGCACGAAAGUGCGGGGAUCGAACAG
rnacentral:rRNA from 1 species